UACGUAGGGGGCAAGCGUUGUCCGGAUUUAUUGGGCGUAAAGAGCUCGUAGGCGGUUCCGUAAGUCGUGAAGUCAAAUCUCUGGGCUCAACCCAGAAUCGCUUCCGAUACUGCGGUGACUGGAGUCCGGUAGGGGAGUGUGGAAUUCCCGGUGUAGCGGUGAAAUGCGCAGAUAUCAGGAGGAACACCGGUGGCGAAGGCGGGACUCUGGGCCGAUACUGACGCUGAGGAGCGAAAGCGUGGGGAGCAAACAGG
rnacentral:rRNA from 1 species